AUGACCGCCGAACAGCUUGCCUCCCAGCUCCAAGCCUUGGAGGUCGACGAUGCCACCACCUUUCUAUGCAAAGUGUUCAAGAUGCUUCCACCCUCGAUCAUGGGCGCCCCACCGACACCGCCAGGGCCGCAGACGGAGGAGGUGACCUGCUUGGUGCCCACGCCCACGCCACCGCGCAGGGCUAGCGCCAGGAUCACCAAGACCGCGGCGGGCAUGACCCAGGAGCAGAGGGCGCAGGCCUGCCUUGCCCAACAGCUGCAUUUCAUCGACGAGCUCGGGGAGUUCAGCGCUCAUGUCCGGGCACGCUACAUCGACCGUUUCAAGCAACCCCUCGGCUAG
rnacentral:rRNA from 1 species